AUCCCCCGGCGCCGCGGCUCGCGGGUGGGCACGCGCAGCUGAGGAGAUGUCUCCGACGCCGGCGCUUUUCAGUUUGCCCGAGGCGCGGACGCUGUUUACGAAAUCUACCAGAGAGGCCUUGAAUAAUAAAAAUAUCAAGCCAUUAUUGAAUGCCUUCAGUCAGUUACCUGGCAGUGAAAAUGAAAAAAGAAGUGUACUCUUGACCAAGCUUUCAGAGGUGUUCUGGAAGAAGAAAUUAUAAAUCACUCAGCGUGUGAGAACGUUUUAGCUAUUAUUUCUCUUGCUAUUGGGGGAGUAACUGAAAGUGUCUGUACCGCGUCCACACCGUUUGUGCUAUUGGGAGAUGUCUUAGACUGCCUUCCGUUGGAUCAGUGUGACACAAUAUUCACUUUUGUCGAAAAAAAUGUUGCUACCUGGAAGUCAAAUACAUUCUAUUCUGCUGGCAAAAAUUAUUUACUACGUAUGUGCAAUGAUCUUCUCAGAAGAUUAUCUAAAUCUCAGAAUACAGUUUUCUGUGGACGAAUUCAACUCUUUUUGGCCAGGCUUUUUCCUCCUUCUGAAAAAUCAGAUGAGUGUUUUGCCCGCAUGUAUGUAUGAUCCCAUGUGUGCCCAUGGGGCUGGAGUUACAGGCGGUUGUAAGCCGUGCUUGUAGUGGCUGUGUCCUCUGUGUCGGUGCUCUCACCCAUUUGAGUUCUCUCUCCAGCCCGUUUCACAGUGGUUUACUGUGAAUUGGAACUCAAUGAAGAGUACAUAACGCAAACAUAAUGAUGAAGCAGAUAGUUCUAUAACCAUUGCUCGGCUCCAGAACUGGAACACUGCUAAUUCUCGAGAGCCUUCCCUGUCUUUGAUCUGUUCAGAUAUGCCAGAUUUUAGUAUCUCAUUGAUUUGGUUUCCCUCCCUUUAGUGUAUUACUGUGGUGAUUGUAUUAAAGCGUGACGUGCGUACAGUGGCGCAUGCCCAUAGUCAGCUUGUAGAAUAUGCUAAUGGUGGGUUUGUGCUGUCUUUUUGUCGUGCUAGCCCUAGGUUUUCUAUUUUUCCCAGUCAUUUCUCAGUUAGUGUUACUCUGUGUAUGCUACUUUGUGCAUUUCUCUUGUUCUCUCUGUGCUCAAUGUCCCUGAGUCUUUCCUUUGAAGAACUUGUCUUGGUUAGGAUUUCUAGCCUUGUGAUAAACUGCAUGACCAACAGUAACUUGGGGAGGAAAGGAUGUAUUUCAGCUUUCGACUUCAUCCCAUUCCAUCACUGAGAGAAUUUAAGCCAAGAACUCAAGGCAGGAACCUGAAGGUAGGAAAUGACCCAGAAACCACGGAGGAUUGCCGCCUACUGGCUUGCUCCUUGUGGCUUGCUCAGUUUGCCUCACCUUCCCCCACCACGCCAUAGCUCUGGCUGCCUUAGAACUCACUAUGUAGACCAGACUAGCCUCAAACUCACUGCCUCUGCCUCCUGAGUACUGGGACUAAAGGCAUGUGGCAUUACUGCUCUAUUACAGCUCAUCAGUUUCCUUUCUUACACACUCUGGGUCUAGAGUGACAUAGUCCCCAGUGGGCUGGGCCCUCCCCCAUUAGCCACUAAUUAAAAUACCAUACAGCCUUGCCUAUAGGCCAAGCUUCUAGAGGCAUUUUCUCAAUUGUUCCCUCGUCUCAGAUGACGCUAGCUUAUGUCAGUUUGACAAACACACAAACCACCAGACAGAACUGAUGUCACGCACGACAUCUUUCUCAUGAAAUCUUUCUCUUUAAUUCUUGUAUGAGUUCAGCUUUAAAUUGCUAGGUUAGUGCUAGAGAGAUUUCAUUCCAUUUGUGAUAGUCUUUAUCUUUGUCUCUCAUUCCUUGUUAUUCUUUUUAAACUUUUUAUUACUGUGUGUGUGUGUGUGUGUGUGUGUGUGUGUGUGUGUGUGUGUGUGCGCGCGCAUGCAUAUGGAGAUCAAAGGACAGUAUGUGAGAGUCAGUUCUCUCUCACCAUGUGGGUACUGGGGAUUGAUCUCACGUCAUCAGGCUAACUUUUCGUGGCCCUGGUCAAAUUCUAGUGUUUGGAAGAUAUAUAGAAGAUGUGUGUGUGUGUGUGUGUGUGUGUGUGUGUGUGUGUGUGUGUGUAUUUUUUUCUCUCUCUCUCUCUCUCUCUGCUUUAAGAUUUUCUUUCGGGCUGGAGAGAUGGCUCAGGGGUUAAGAGCACUGGCUGCUCUUCCAGAGGUCCUGAGUCCUAUUGUCAGCAACCACUUGGUGGCUCCCAACCAUCUAUAAUGAGAUCCGGUGCCCUCUUCUGGCAUGUAGGCAAAACACUGUAUACAUAAUAAAUAAAUAACAUCUUUUUUUAAAAAAAUCUUUGAUUUUAUUAUGAUGUGUCUAUGUGUGGAUUGCUUUUUACCUAACAUUCUUGGGAUUUGUUGACAUUUUAAAUUUAGAUUCAUGUCUUUUACUACUUUCUGAAAAUUUUAGUGAUUACGUCUUCACAUUUCAUAAAUACUUCUUGUUCUGUUUUUGCCUCUCUACUUUUAUAUCAGCUAUUCAGAGACUGUUUUCUCUGUCUGCCUUUCUAUCUCGAUAUCACACUCUGAAUAGUCUGAUGUGAUUCUCAUUUCUGGAAGGUCUUUUUACUUUUUAGCUUUUUACUCCCUUUGAGUUUUGUUCUUUAGUUUAAAAAAACAUGGUAAGCAUUUUUUGUUGUUUAUAUCUGACCAUUUCAGUGCCUUAUAUUUUUGAGAAGAAUAGUUUUGAGAGUCCUAGGAUGGAUUCCUUUUUUUGGUUUUGGUUUUUUGUUUGUUUGUGUGAUUGGUUGGUUUGGUUUGGUUUUUUGAGACAGGGUUUCUCUGUGUAGCCCUGACUGUCCUAGACUUGCUUUUUAGACCAGGCUGCCCUCGAACUUUCGGUGAUCUGCCUGCCUCUGCUCUCUGAGUGCUGGGAUUAAAGGUAUGUGAGGAUACCUUUCUUAGGAGAAGGUUUUUAUUGCCUGUGUAUGUGCCUUAAAAAGGGACUCCUGCCAGUGAGGAUAAGGUCUAAUCUAGCCAAGCUCAGGGCCUGUUAAUGUCUUCGUCACCCAGAAAACUUAGUACUAGAUAAACAGUUUUUUCACCUUUGCCUAAAGGUACAGAUUUGAAGAUGGCUUGAUAUGAGAUUUCUCCAUUUUUUAGGUUCUUCUCCUUCCUUUGGCCCAAAAAGCUACUAAUAGAACAGCUGAAUUUCACUUCUGAUUCUUUCUGACAGGGAUUACAAGGGUAGUAUAGGUAUAUGAAUACCAUUACAUAAUAUUAAUAGGGUAUAACUCUUAAUACAGUUAUUAACACUAAGAAAUCAACAUUGCUACAGCACUCAUUGUCAGCUAUAGAUGUUUGAAUUCAAUCAGUUUGAUCACCACUCUCUCUUUUCUCUUUCAGUAUCCACAUUACAUUUAAUUUUCUUGUUACAUAGUCUCUCCAAUGACAAUCCCUUCGUCUUUGCUUAUCUUUCAUGACUUGACACAUAGACGUUGUUUAAAUUAAAAAGUGUUGGACCAUGUAAUGUUUAUUAGCAGCCCUGAGAUUAUCAUGGCGGUAUUAGUUGACCUGCUGUCACAAAGAAUAAGGCACAGACACCUGUUAGAUUUUAUAGUUACUUCAUUUACCUUGGCCUGGGCUGAUAUUUCACCUACGCUGUCUCAAUAACCUCACCGCCUAUCUCCCAGCCCCCAUCCAAUGCCAUCUGCCUUAAUCGUCCUCAUCUGAUUUACCUUCCACCCAUAAUCCCAAGACACUUGCUCGUAUUCUUCAUCUGGGUCUUUUCACACCAUUAUUGGAGUCCUUCCUUGCAGCCCACGUGGUUCCUUCUCCGCACUCACCUAUCAUGGCAUCCUCCUUCCUCCUCUCUUCCUGUCCAUCCAUCUCUCGUGAUGCUCCUGACAUCUAAAGCUCAUGAACCUUAGCCACACCUUCCCCAUUCUGCCCUGCCUGGGUAUAGGCCUUUAAUCAACCAAUCAGGUAUAAUGUCUUAGGCAUAUUUACCAAACAAGAAUAGGUGUAACCAGAUCUUGAGGGCCAGCAAAACACACCAGACCAACCUCCAGCAAUUGAAGUUAGACUUUGGAGAAGAAUACAGAGGGAACUAAUGUACCUUUCUCAAAGCAUCAUUUUGAAAUUUGAUUUUGACAUGCCUUCUACUGGCAAUGUUACCACUCAUCGCUUGGUUAAGAUGGCAUCUCCUAUUUGUCCCUCUAUAUUAGGGUUACAGUUUUUCCCUUUGUGAUCUGUAAUGCUUAUGAGGAGGGAUGAUGAUACAUAGAUACUUCUUUUCUCCUUAAUUUCUGUCAGUGGGUCUUGCCUGAUGUGAAUAUUAUUAGGGCGUCAUGGUGAUUUUCUCACCUUUCUAUGUUUAUUAGUGGUAAUCCUUCCAUAAGGGAAAGUUGUCUUCUUGGUAGCUUAUUAGUUCAGUUACCUCUUUCCAAAUGAACUGUGGAUAUUUUAUUCCUUGGGUCAUGGUGUCAUAUAUUAUUAUUUAUUUUUUUUGUUCACAUUGUUCUUGUUUCUGCCAGUGGGGCUCUUUCAGGUUUUCUUGGUGUAGAUUAUUAUCCAGGCUCAUCUUGCCCAGCCUCGGAGUCACCCAUUUUUUCCAAAGAGCUUAUUUUCUUUUAUUUAAGACUGAUAGUUAAAACCAAGAUUUUGACCCUAAAUAAAGCCAGGGUCUGGAGCUAAGAUAUGGUUGUUGUGUCUAGACCCUCUCAGCAGGCAGAACAAGGAAAGUUAAAUACGCUGGCCUUCUUUAUAAUAUUGUUAUCAUUAUGUUCUCUCAAGCUGAAAUAACUGCUUCGGUAAAAUUCUAAAUACUCUGUAUCGUGUGGAUUGUUUUGAGUGUUGUGACUGCAAAGGGCUGCAAGCCUGGUAUAGUAGCACACACCUGUCUCUAGCACUCAGGAGGCUCAGAGGCAGGAGAGUCAUCAAUCUGAUCUAUAUACUAAGACCCUAUUUCAAAAAAAAUAGAUAAACUAUCUGUUACUAUAAUUUCUACAGAAUUCUGAGUAUUCUAGAGGCACCUUAAGAAGUAAAUUUUAGCCAGGCAUGGUGGUACAUGCCUUAAAUCCCAGCACUGAGAGGCAGAGGCAGGUAGGUCUCUGUAAGUUCAAGGCUAGCCUGGUCUACAGAAUGAGUUCCAAAACAGUCAGGGCUAUGGAGAGAAACCUUGUCUCAAAACAACAAUAAUUUUUUUAAGUGUUUGAAAAUCAAGUGUGGUGGUUAUUUCUGAUUUCAUCAUUUGCUUAUUUGUGGAUUUGGUAUUUUAUCUUUUGGUAAUAUGAAAUAAGUCAUGUUCUUUUAUAAGUUUUAAGUGACAGUACAUUUGCCUAUCUUUAAUUUCAGAUAACUCUUCCCUUCUCAUUUCUGCUGGCUUAUUCAGCCCCCACCUCUGAUACAGGCACUCUGCAGGGUGACAAAAUGAACUGUACCCUUGCUGUUGUCCUGUUUACAUGGAAGUGCCCUGUAGCCACUGUGAAAAAAUGUUGGCACUCUCUCUCCUCACUUUAUUUUUCUGCUUCAUGUUAUCAUGGUGUCAGGACCAAGAGAACGUUUUUAUUCACCAACAGCAUAAAAUGACCAAGAUGUCACAAUGAAACCUUUGCUGUCUGUUCUUGGGCUUGGGCAGGGAGGGAGCACACAGCAAUUUUUUUUUUUAAACUGAAAGAGAAUCUUCCAUUUCUACAAUUGGCUAAUUUUCACUUUUAGUCAUACUUGGUUUUAAUGUGUUGUGUGUGUGUGUGUGCUUGUAUUUUGAAUAGCUGAUGGAUUUACAACUGAGCGACAGUAACUUUCGUCGACACAUCCUGUUGCAGUAUCUCAUUUUAUUUCAGUAUCUCAAGGGACAGGUCAAAUUCAAAAGGUGAGUCAGUGUGUGUAGUAAGUGAUUUCAAACAGUGACAAUGGAAAGAUCUUGUAAAGAUUUUCAUGUUUUAGGCCAAUAAAAUACAUAUAAUUUA